GACGAACGCUGGCGGCGUGCCUAAUACAUGCAAGUCGAGCGAAGUUUUUCUGGUGCUUGCACUAGAAAAACUUAGCGGCGAACGGGUGAGUAACACGUAAAGAACCUGCCUCAUAGACUGGGACAACUAUUGGAAACGAUAGCUAAUAACGGAUAACAGUAUUUCUCGCAGGGGAGAAAUUUAAAAGUUGGUUAUGCUAACACUAUGAGAUGGCUUUGCGGUGCAUUAGCUAGUUGGUGGGGUAAAGGCCCACCAAGGCGACGAUGCAUAGCCGACCCGAGAGGGUGAACGGCCACACUGGGACUGAGACACGGCCCAGACUCCUACGGGAGGCAGCAGUAGGGAAUCGUCCGCAAUGGGCGAAAGCCUGACGGAGCAACGCCGCGUGAGUGAAGAAGGAUUUCGGUUCGUAAAGCUCUGUUGUUAGGGAAGAAUGGAUAUGUAGUAACUAUACAUGUAAGAGACGGUACCUAACCAGAAAGCCACGGCUAACUACGUG
rnacentral:rRNA from 1 species